rnacentral:rRNA from 1 species
CCUACGGGAGGCAGCAGUGGGGAAUUUUCCGCAAUGGGCGAAAGCCUGACGGAGCGACGCCGCGUGCAGGAAGAAGUCUUUCGGGAUGUAAACUGCUUUCAGCAGGGACGAAUAAAUUGACGGUACCUGCAGAAGAAGCAUCGGCUAACUACGUGCCAGCAGCCGCGGUAAUACGUAGGAUGCAAGCGUUGUUCGGAAUUACUGGGCGUAAAGAGUACGUAGGCGGUAAUGUAAGUCUGUUAUUAAAGACCGGAGCUCAACUCCGGGAAUGUAAU